rnacentral:rRNA from 1 species
GUGCUAAGUGUUGGAGGGUUUCCGCCCUUCAGUGCUGCAGCUAACGCAUUAAGCACUCCGCCUGGGGAGUACGACCGCAAGGUUGAAACUCAAAGGAAUUGACGGGGGCCCGCACAAGCGGUGGAGCAUGUGGUUUAAUUCGAAGCAACGCGAAGAACCUUACCAGGUCUUGACAUCCUUUGACCACUCUAGAGAUAGAGCUUCCCCUUCGGGGGCAAAGUGACAGGUGGUGCAUGGUUGUCGUCAGCUCGUGUCGUGAGAUGUUGGGUUAAGUCCCGCAACGAGCGCAACCCUUAUUGUUAGUUGCCAUCAUUCAGUUGGGCACUCUAGCAAGACUGCCGGUGACAAACCGGAGGAAGGUGGGGAUGACGUCAAAUCAUCAUGCCCCUUAUGACCUGGGCUACACACGUGCUACAAUGGGAAGUACAACGAGUUGCGAAGUCGCGAGGCUAAGCUAAUCUCUUAAAGCUUCUCUCAGUUCGGAUUGCAGGCUGCAACUCGCCUGCAUGAAGCCGGAAUCGCUAGUAAUCGCGGAUCAGCACGCCGCGGUGAAUACGUUCCCGGGCCUUGUA